AUUGAACGCUGGCGGCGUGCCUAACACAUGCAAGUCGAGCGGUAACAGGUGUAGCAAUACAUGCUGACGAGCGGCGAACGGGUGAGUAAUGCUUCGGAAUCUGCCCAUGUAGUGGGGAAUAACCAGCCGAAAGGUUGGCUAAUACCGCAUACGACCCUUGCCCACAAGGCAAAGGUGAAAGCAGGGAUCGCAAGACCUUGCGCUAUUGGAUGAGCCGAAGUCGGAUUAGCUAGUUGGUAGGGUAACGGCCUACCAAGGCGACGAUCCGUAGCUGGUCUGAGAGGACGACCAGCCACACUGGGACUGAGACACGGCCCAGACUCCUACGGGAGGCAGCAGUGGGGAAUAUUGGACAAUGGGGCAACCCUGAUCCAGCGACGCCGCGUGUGUGAAGAAGGCCUGCGGGUUGUAAAGCACUUUUAGUGGGGAUGAAAAGC
rnacentral:rRNA from 1 species